rnacentral:rRNA from 1 species
GAUGAACACUGACGGAAUGCUUAACACAUGCAAGUCAACUUUGGCGGACGGGUGAGUAACGCGUAAAGAACUUGCCUCACAGUUAGGGACAACGUUUGGAAACGAAUGCUAAUACCUGAUACUGUGAGAGAGCGUUGCGUCCCAUUAGCUAGUUGGAGAGGUAACGGCUCACCAAGGCGAUGAUGGGUAGCCGGCCUGAGAGGGGGAUCGGCCACAAGGGGACUGAGACACGGCCCUUACUCCUACUGGAGGCAGCAGUGGGGAAUAUUGGACAAUGGACCAAAGUCUGGUCCAGCAAUUCUGGGUGCACUAUGAAGUUUUCGGAAUGUAAAGUGCUUUCAGGUGGGAAGCGGUACCAACAGAAGAAGUGACGGCUAAAUACGUGCCAGAAGCCGCGGUAAUAC